rnacentral:rRNA from 1 species
CUGGCGGCGUGCCUAAUACAUGCAAGUAGAACGCUGAAGAGAGGAGCUUGCUCUUCUUGGAUGAGUUGCGAACGGGUGAGUAACGCGUAGGUAACCUGCCUGGUAGCGGGGGAUAACUAUUGGAAACGAUAGCUAAUACCGCAUAAAAUGGAUUAUCGCAUGAUAAUCCAUUGAAAGGUGCAAAUGCAUCACUACCAGAUGGACCUGCGUUGUAUUAGCUAGUUGGUGGGGUAACGGCUCACCAAGGCGACGAUACAUAGCCGACCUGAGAGGGUGAUCGGCCACACUGGGACUGAGACACGGCCCAGACUCCUACGGGAGGCAGCAGUAGGGAAUCUUCGGCAAUGGACGGAAGUCUGACCGAGCAACGCCGCGUGAGUGAAGAAGGUUUUCGGAUCGUAAAGCUCUGUUGUAAGAGAAGAACGAGUGUGAGAGUGGAAAGUUCACACUGUGACGGUAUCUUACCAGAAAGGGACGGCUAACUACGUGCCAGCAGCCGCGGUAAUACGUAGGUCCCGAGCGUUGUCCGGAUUUAUUGGGCGUAAAGCGAGCGCAGGCGGUUAGAUAAGUCUGAAGUUAAAGGCUGUGGCUUAACCAUAGUACGCUUUGGAAACUGUUUAACUUGAGUGCAAGAGGGGAGAGUGGAAUUCCAUGUGUAGCGGUGAAAUGCGUAGAUAUAUGGAGGAACACCGGUGGCGAAAGCGGCUCUCUGGCUUGUAACUGACGCUGAGGCUCGAAAGCGUGGGGAGCAAACAGGAUUAGAUACCCU